rnacentral:rRNA from 1 species
AGYSGCUGGCGGCAGGCUUAMACAUGCAAGUCGAGCGCCCCGMAAGGGGAGCGSCMGACGGGUGAGUAACGCGUGGGAACGUACCAUUUGCUACGGAAUAACUCAGGGAAACUUGUGCUAAUACCGUAUGUGCCCUUCGGGGGAAAGAUUUAUCGGCAAAUGAUCGGCCCGCGUUGGAUUAGCUAGUUGGUGGGGUAAAGGCUCACCAAGGCGACGAUCCAUAGCUGGUCUGAGAGGAUGAUCAGCCACACUGGGACUGAGACACGGCCCAGACUCCUACGGGAGGCAGCAGUGGGGAAUAUUGGACAAUGGGCGCAAGCCUGAUCCAGCCAUGCCGCGUGAGUGAUGAAGGCCCUAGGGUUGUAAAGCUCUUUCACCGGUGAAGAUAAUGACGGUAACCGGAGAAGAAGCCCCGGCUAACUUCGUGCCAGCAGCCGCGKWAAUA